rnacentral:rRNA from 1 species
GACGAACGCUGGCGGCGUGCUUAACACAUGCAAGUCGAACGGAAAGGCCCUGCUUUUGUGGGGUGCUCGAGUGGCGAACGGGUGAGUAACACGUGAGUAACCUGCCCUUGACUUUGGGAUAACUUCAGGAAACUGGGGCUAAUACCGGAUAGGAGCUCCUGCUGCAUGGUGGGGGUUGGAAAGUUUCGGCGGUUGGGGAUGGACUCGCGGCUUAUCAGCUUGUUGGUGGGGUAGUGGCUUACCAAGGCUUUGACGGGUAGCCGGCCUGAGAGGGUGACCGGCCACAUGAGGACUGAGAUACGGCCCAGACUCCUACGGGAGGCAGCAGUGGGGAAUAUUGCACAAUGGGCGCAAGCCUGAUGCAGCAACGCCGCGGUCGGGAUGACGGCCUUCGGGUUGUAAACCGCAUUCGCCUGUGACGAAGCUUGAGUGACGGUAAUGGGUAAAGAAGCACCGGCUAACUACGUG